AUAAUCAACGCUGGCGGCGUGCCUCGGACAUGCAAGUCGAACGCGAAAGUCCCCUUCGGGGGACAAGUAGAGUGGCGCACGGGUGAGUAACACGUAGGUAAUCUACCUUCGGAUGGGGAAUAACAACCGGAAACGGUUGCUAAUACCGCAUAAUGCAGCGGCACCUAAUGGUGACAGUUGUUAAAGCGGGGGAUCGAAAGACCUCGCGUCUGAAGAGGAGCCUGCGGCGGAUUAGCUAGUUGGUAGGGUUACGGCCUACCAAGGCGACGAUCCGUA
rnacentral:rRNA from 1 species